rnacentral:pre_miRNA from 1 species
UAAAUACUCCCUUCGUCCGGAAAUACUUGUCAUCAAAAUGGAUAAAAGGAAAUGUAUAUAGACGUAUUUUAGUUUUAGAUACAUCUCUUUUUAUCCAUUUUGAUGACAAGUAUUUUCGGACGGAGGGAGUAGAAA